rnacentral:rRNA from 1 species
GACGAACGCUGGCGGCGUGCCUAAUACAUGCAAGUAGAACGCUGAAGGAGGAGCUUGCUUCUCUGGAUGAGUUGCGAACGGGUGAGUAACGCGUAGGUAACCUGCCUGGUAGCGGGGGAUAACUAUUGGAAACGAUAGCUAAUACCGCAUAAUAGUAGAUGUUGCAUGACAUUUGCUUAAAAGGUGCAAUUGCAUCACUACCAGAUGGACCUGCGUUGUAUUAGCUAGUUGGUGAGGUAACGGCUCACCAAGGCGACGAUACAUAGCCGACCUGAGAGGGUGAUCGGCCACACUGGGACUGGGACACGGCCCAGACUCCUACGGGAGGCAGCAGUAGGGAAUCUUCGGCAAUGGACGGAAGUCUGACCGAGCAACGCCGCGUGAGUGAAGAAGGUUUUCGGAUCGUAAAGCUCUGUUGUAAGAGAAGAACGAGUGUGAGAGUGGAAAGUUCACACUGUGACGGUAUCUUACCAGAAAGGGACGGCUAACUACGUG